AACGAACGCUGGCGGCAGGCUUAACACAUGCAAGUCGAGCGCCCCGAAAGGGGAGUGGCAGACGGGUGAGUAACGCGUGGGAAUGUGCCCUUUGGUCUGGAAUAACUCAGGGAAACUUGAGCUAAUACCGGAUAAGCCCUCCGGGGGAAAGCUUUACUGCCAUCGGAGCAGCCCGCUUCAGAUUAGCUAGUUGGUGAGGUAAAAGCUCACCAAGGCGUUGAUCUGUAGCUGGUCUGAGAGGACGACCAGCCACACUGGGACUGGGACACGGCCCAGACUCCUACGGGAGGCAGCAGUGGGGAAUAUUGGACAAUGGGGGCAACCCUGAUCCAGCCAUGCCGCGUGAGUGAUGAAGGCCUGAGGGUUGUAAAGCUCUUUUACUCGGGAAGAUAAUGACUGUACCGAGAGAAUAAGCCCCGGCUAACUUCGUGCCAGCCGCCGCCGUAA
rnacentral:rRNA from 1 species